rfam:Eutrema salsugineum unplaced genomic scaffold scaffold_12, whole genome shotgun sequence.
AGGUGCGAUUAUGCCAGCACUAGUGCACUGAAUCCCAUCAGAACUCCGCAGUUAAGCGUGCUUGGGCGAGUGUAGUACUAGGAUGAGUGAUCUCCCGGGAAGUCCUCGUGUUGCACCCU